ACUGUAUGAUGAGCUCUUUUCAGUUCUGCUUCCGAAAGAGGAAACUCUUGUGGACAACCUUAUACCAAAAAACUCUUCCUGAUUU
rnacentral:snoRNA from 1 species